CUCCUCUCCAUGAGAUGGAACCAGCAGAAGUUUCAAAACCUGGCAAAUUCUCUUUCCCAAAGAUACCAUAAGACUUCUAGAGCUCUAAAUGUCCAGUUGGGGGACCUGGAAACUCUGAAAGCCAAGCUUCAACUGCAAGAAAAAAACAUGGAGGAAUUUGUGCAAGAUGUGAAAGACUGGGCAGAUGACAGCAACAAAUGUCGACACAGAAUUAGACGGAAAAUAAGGCAAGAAAAGACCACUUUGCAGACCAUGCUAGCCAAGUACAACAGCCUUGUAACACCCGAGCAAGCAGUUUGCAUGGAUCAUAUUCUGGACACAGAACAUCCCUGGCCUUGGCAAAUAACACAAGAAGGUACGCAUAA